UACAGAGGUCCCGAGCGUUGUUCGGAUUCACUGGGCGUAAAGGGUGCGUAGGUGGCAUGGUAAGUUUGAUGUGAAAGCUCAGGGCUUAACCCUGAAAUGGCAUUGAAUACUACUGUGCUGGAGGUUUGGAGGGGGGACUGGAAUUCUUGGUGUAGCAGUGAAAUGCGUAGAUAUCAAGAGGAACACCGGUGGCGAAGGCGGCGUUCUGGACUGCAACUGACACUGAUGAACGAAAGCCAGGGGAGCAAACGGG
rnacentral:rRNA from 1 species